UACGUAGGGUGCAAGCGUUGUCCGGAAUUAUUGGGCGUAAAGAGCUCGUAGGCGGUCUGUCGCGUCGGAUGUGAAAACCCAGGGCUCAACCCUGGGCCUGCAUUCGAUACGGGCAGACUAGAGUUCGGUAGGGGAGACUGGAAUUCCUGGUGUAGCGGUGAAAUGCGCAGAUAUCAGGAGGAACACCGGUGGCGAAGGCGGGUCUCUGGGCCGAAACUGACACUGAGAGACGAAAGCUGGGGGAGCAAAUAGG
rnacentral:rRNA from 1 species